rnacentral:pre_miRNA from 1 species
UCACCUCCGCAGGCUGCUGGCCCCGGGCUGGGCUGGGCGAGUAUCUCUUCCAAAGGCUCCCCUCAAGCACGACUAGGAGC